GAGAUCACGUGGAGCUGAGAGAGGCCCAAGGAGGGGGUGCUGGUGCUGUGCAGGGUGCUGAGCCCAAGGAAUCACUGCUGCCCCUCUCCUGUGGGUGGCUGGGGGUCCUCUCGUACCUGCUGUGCUGCUCCAGUUGAGCCCUGGACACCAACCACUCCUCCUCCAUGUUCCAGGGCCUUGGGAAGCUCGUUGGGAAACUGCUCCAAGGAGGCUUUGGGACCUGCCAGAGCAGAGGGGAGAUAUGUCCAUGUGUGACUUUCUUGACAGACAUUUUGACCCCAGAACAGGCUGAUUUGGUGAAAGGAGAGCGCGCAGCAGCCGACAGGGAGAGCUCUCACCACCCCCAGCGAGGCUGACACUUGCUCUCGGGUUCCUCCCUUGAAGUUUGUCCCACUUUCUGGCCCACUAAAUGUCUGACUGUCAACAUCAACAGUGAGAACUGCACAGCCUGUUCAGCACAGCUGGGAUGCACAGAGGUGAACAAUGAGAAGACACUGUGUGUGCUGCCUGGCUCCCAGCUCCUGAAGCAACACCAGGCCCUGACCCACAAGUGUUGCCUUCCUUGCUGAGACAACCCCCAACAACCCUCCUUCCUGCUGCACUGCCCUGAGAGAUUUUUUGCAUCAGGGAGGGCGUGAGCUCCACCACGGGGGACACGAGCUCCGUGUCAGUGUGAGCUGCACCUGGAGGCACAAAUACCUGUUACCUCUCUGAAAUGGGGGUUACACAGGGGGCCCCACACCAGAAUUCCUGCUCUGCCACAGCAGGGAGGACAAGGAUAUUUUUUGGGGUGUUGUCCCCUGGAGCAGGAGGGGAGGCUGCCUUGCACUGGAUUCCUGGUCCUAGGAGACAGCCUGGCAUCUUCUGAGAAGGGGCAUGGAGAGCAUGGAAGGAAGAAAAACAGGCGGUUACCAUGGCGACGAGGAUCCCGCUGCGAUUGGCUCAGCUCUGGUCACGUGGUGGGUAAUACAUCCCCGGGACCUACAAGUCCCAGCAUGCACCACGCGGGGACC